rnacentral:lncRNA from 1 species
GUUCUCCAGGUGGACGCCUGAUUUCUUUAAUUCUCAUCCUCAUUCUCCAGGUGGAUGCCUGAUUUCUUCAAUUCUCAUCCUUAUUCUCCAGGUGGACGCCUAACUUCUUCAAUUCUUCAUCCUCAUUCUCCAGGUGGACGCCUGACUUCUUUAAUUCUCAUCCUCAUUCUUCAGGUGGACGCCUGAUUUCUUCUUAACUUCUUCAUCCUUAUUCUCCAGGUGGACGCCUGACUUCUUCAAUUUUUUGUCCUCAUUCUCCAGGUGGACGCCUGACACAAAUGUUGUUUUUUUUUGCCCCUGUUUU